UUUUACUCAGUUUUACUAAUUUUUUCUGUUGUUUCGUCUCCUCUUCAUAUUAUCAGAGACACAGAGAAGAAACGUUUCAGAGAAGAAAUCCCGGACGAAACGGGUCUUAUGAAUUGAUCAGAUAUCACAAGAGGUCCAGCGGCUUCUGUUAUCGCUGAGAAUCCUUACAUAUGCCCAGCGAGAGGGAAACUGCACUUAGUGCUGAUUGACGUGACACCAGUUGCUAAAGAUGAGAGCGCUCUGAAUGUCCUGCCAACUCUGCUUCCCCCAUCCAUCUACAAGAGAGGAGGAAUAGUCUUCAGACCGACAUCAGAGGAGUCCCGGAGGUCAUUUAUUGACAUGCAGACUGAUCUAAUGAGUUGAUUUGACUCAUGAGUGGACCCCUCAGUUUCAAGCAUCCUUCUAACUCUCUGGAUCUCAGAAGGGAUGGAGAGACCGCUGCUUGAAGAAAACCUGCUCCAGGGUGCAUGUUACCCGAGACUGGGGCGGCAGUUCACUUUUCAGCACCAUAAUGACCCGAAGCAUACGGCCAAGACAACACUGGAGUGGAGUCCAAACAUGUCUCUGACUGAGCUUGAGCGGACCAGCCAAAGUCCUGACUGGAACAUCUGUGGAGAGACCUGAAGAUGGCAGUUCACACAUGCUUCCCAUCCAAUCUGAUGGAGCUUGAGAAGAUCUGUCAGGAAGAAUGGGAUAAACUGUCCAAAUCCAGAUGCGAGUGUUGCUGGACAAGGUGACAGGAUAAGAAAGUACCUGAGUUUCAACACUGAGCAGGAAACCUGGGUUGCAAGGACAGUGUCGCCAUCCUCCUCCAAAAACUUCAGCGCACUCAGCCACUAUCUCCCACAAUGCAUUACAAGGGUCUCACUGAGGAGCGUGCAUGCUUCCUUUAUCUGCAAGACAGGAUUCCAGACAUUCUGGUUGCCUUGCCUGACGUUGGGCUGACCAUGAGCAAAUUCCUCCCGCCUGGAUACCACCCUGCUGUUACAGUCACCAUGUUGUUCACGAGGCAGAGAGGGUCCUCUGCUGUCAGGUCAGCAUGCUGAGGCUGUGACUGCAGGCUUUGCUCUAAGCUCUUGCCACUUAUUUGCAAAUCGUCACCUGAUGCCUAGGAGUAAAGUCAAUGUGUGUGACUAUUCAGUGUCCUUUCACAUUGUGCUGUCAACAGCAUGUGCAUUGACCCGAGAAAUGUUACCUUGUGCACACAGUGUCUCGACAGCAAUAGAAGUCCGUUGCUGUGCCGUGUUCAGGUCUUUGUCAUAGCAAACAUGUUGAAAUGUCCCAGCAGGAAAAGCACAGGUGUAAAUUAUAUAAUGAAAGAUGGCCGAAUUCCAUUUAGCUGCUUCAGUUUCAGGGUCCUUGUGUUUUGUUCAUGCUGGCUCACUGGAAUGCUUAAAUUCAGCUGAGACAUUGUUGUUAUUGACACCUGUGCUUUUACUGUUAUACUUGCUGUAAAAACGGCCAAUAGGUCAUUAAGUUUCCCAAGAACUUCACUUAAUUACUUUCACAGGCCUCUACCUCUUUACUAGGGGCUUUAAAAUCCCUGAGCAAAUCUCCAAGGGGUCACAUGUUGAAUCUGACAUUUAUAUGACAGGAAAGAAGAAAAAUACAGUUCUACUACACAAACUUACUUCACUCAAAUCUUUUCUUGCCUUUGUGUAUUUUUAAAGAGAAAUUCAGUCUUUGGUGGGACUACUCAUGCACUAUGCAUCCUGUGAUGACGGGU